UACGUAGGGGGCAAGCGUUGUCCGGAAUCAUUGGGCGUAAAGCGCGUGUAGGCGGCCAGGUAAGUCCGUUCUGAAAGCCCGGGGCUCAACCCCGGGAGGCGGGUGGAUACUGUCAAGCUCGAGUCCGGAAGAGGAGUGUGGAAUUCCUGGUGUAGCGGUGAAAUGCGCAGAUAUCAGGAGGAACACCAAUGGCGAAGGCAGCACUCUGGGACGUGACUGACGCUGAGACGCGAAAGCGUGGGGAGCGAACAGG
rnacentral:rRNA from 1 species